rnacentral:rRNA from 1 species
CACGUAGGGUGCGAGCGUUGUCCGGAAUUAUUGGGCGUAAAGAGCUCGUAGGCGGUGUGUCGCGUCGGCCGUGAAAACCUGCAGCUUAACUGUGGGCUUGCGGUCGAUACGGGCAUCACUGGAGUUCGGCAGGGGAGACUGGAAUUCCUGGUGUAGCGGUGAAAUGCGCAGAUAUCAGGAGGAACACCGGUGGCGAAGGCGGUCUCUGGGCCGAUACUGACGCUGAGGAGCGAAAGCGUGGGGAGCGAACAGG